AUCUACGGCCAUACCAACCUGAAAUCACCUGAUCUCAUCUGAUCGUGGAAGCUAAGAAGGGUCAGGUCUGGUUAGUACUUGGAUGGGAGAAUAUGUCAUUCUAUUUC
rnacentral:rRNA from 1 species